AGGACAAAAUUGUGUUCCAAAAAAAUGAUAUCAUAUCCCCCUCCUCUAGGAAAUUGUAUAAACUUUUCUGUUUUGAAUAAUGAUAAUACUGAAUUAAACUAUGUUUCUUUACGCUUAUAAACUUGUAAGCGGGACGGUAUUUAGGAGGAAGAGUUAUGGAAGCAGUUACCUCGAGCGGACAAAUUUUGACACAUUUAAGGGGAGGCCAGCGCCGCUAGAAUUUAAGUUAGAAAAAGAGU